GCUUCUGCACUUCUUAUUAUGUAGUUUCAUUAGUACAGAUAUUAUCAUCUGAUCUGGUGUAUUUUUUCAGUAAAUUUGAUGAUAUAUUUGAAGGUUUUCUUGAUGUCUUUGAUCCCAAUGCAGCCAGAAUACGUAUGAGUUUGACCUGCUACCAUACUCAGUUCAAUACUAACCCUGCCUAAAAUAGAAGUCUACAAAAUUGAUGUGAUACAUGAGUGUUUUGCCUGUAUUUCUUAAGGUUUAGAUGGAUAAUUACUUUAAAUUUAGUUGCACAUACAUGUAUUUAUUUCUUAAUAAGGUUCAAAUGGCUAAUUACCUUUAAUGGGGGGUGUAUGCAAGGGUUGAGGUGUUGGAGGCAAGACAUGGUGGCUCUAUAGAGGGAGAUCACUACGGGUGGAGAGGGCACAACUGGUGAUGGCCAAGGAGAUUGUGUAAGUCAAUCAACCUCAACCUCACUGUGAACUGGAUCGCUCAAGAUUAGAGGCUCAACUUAGCUCAGGAAUAUGGUACUGCUGCAG
rnacentral:lncRNA from 1 species